rnacentral:rRNA from 1 species
GGUUAAGUUAGAAAGGGCGCACGGUGGAUGCCUUGGCACUAGGAGCCGAAGAAGGACGGGACUAACACCGAUAUGCUUUGGGGAGCUGUACGUAAGCGUUGAUCCAGAGAUUUCCGAAUGGGGGAACCCACUAUCUUUAGUCGGAUAGUAUCCUUACGUGAAUACAUAGCGUGAGGAAGGCAGACCCAGGGAACUGAAACAUCUAAGUACCUGGAGGAAGAGAAAGAAAAAUCGAUUUCCUGAGUAGCGGCGAGCGAAACGGAAAGAGCCCAAACCAAGAAGCUUGCUUCUUGGGGUUGUAGGACACUCUAUACGGAGUUACAAAAGAAAGUUAUAAAUGAAGCGGUCUGGAAAGGCCCGCCAAAGACGGUAACAGCCCGGUAGUUGAAAUGGCUUUCCCUCCAGAGUGGAUCCUGAGUACGGCGGAACACGUGAAAUUCCGUCGGAAUCCGGGAGGACCAUCUCCCAAGGCUAAAUACUCCCUAGUGACCGAUAGUGAACCAGUACCGUGAGGGAAAGGUGAAAAGCACCCCGGAAGGGGAGUGAAACAGUUCCUGAAACCGUGUGCCUACAAGUAGUUAGAGCCCGUUAAUGGGUGAUAGCGUGCCUUUUGUAGAAUGAACCGGCGAGUUACGAUUUGUUGCAAGGUUAAGCGGAAAAAGCGGAGCCGUAGCGAAAGCGAGUCUGAAUAGGGCGCAUAAGUAACAGGUCGUAGACCCGAAACCAGGUGAUCUACCCAUGUCCAGGAUGAAGGUAAGGUAAUACUUACUGGAGGUCCGAACCCACGCACGUUGAAAAGUGCGGGGAUGAGGUGUGGGUAGCGGAGAAAUUCCAAUCGAACUUGGAGAUAGCUGGUUCUCUCCGAAAUAGCUUUAGGGCUAGCCUCGAGGUAAAGAGUCAUGGAGGUAGAGCACUGUUUGGACUAGGGGCCCUUCUCGGGUUACCGAAUUCAGAUAAACUCCGAAUGCCAUGUACUUAUACUCGGGAGUCAGACUGCGAGUGAUAAGAUCCGUAGUCGAAAGGGAAACAGCCCAGACCACCAGUUAAGGUCCCCAAAUAUAUGUUAAGUGGAAAAGGAUGUGGGGUUGCUUAGACAACCAGGAUGUUGGCUUAGAAGCAGCCACCAUUGAAAGAGUGCGUAAUAGCUCACUGGUCGAGUGACCCCGCGCCGAAAAUGUACCGGGGCUAAACAUAUUACCGAAACUGUGGAUGAACCUCUUUAGAGGUUCGUGGUAGGAGAGCGUUCUAAGGGCGGUGAAGUCAGACCGGAAGGACUGGUGGAGCGCUUAGAAGUGAGAAUGCCGGUAUGAGUAGCGAAAGAAGGGUGAGAAUCCCUUCCACCGAAUAUCUAAGGUUUCCUGAGGAAGGCUCGUCCGCUCAGGGUUAGUCGGGACCUAAGCCGAGGCCGAUAGGCGUAGGCGAUGGACAACAGGUAGAGAUUCCUGUACCAGUGCUAAUUGUUUAACCGAUGGGGUGACACAGAAGGAUAGGGAAUCGCACGAAUGGAAAUGUGCGUCCAAGCAGUGAGUGUGAGAAGUAGGCAAAUCCGCUUCUCGCGAAGCAUGAGCUGUGAUGGGGAAGGAAAUUAAGUACGGAAGUUCCUGAUUUCACGCUGUCAAGAAAAGCCUCUAGGAAGAGUAGUACUGCCCGUACCGCAAACCGACACAGGUAGAUGAGGAGAGAAUCCUAAGGUGAGCGAGAGAACUCUCGUUAAGGAACUCGGCAAAAUGACCCCGUAACUUCGGG